AGGUUUUGCCAUGUUGAACAGGCUGGUGUCGAACUCCUGACCUCAGGUGAUCCGCCCACCUCAGCUUCCCAAAAUGCUAGGAUUACAGGUGUGAGCCACUACGUCUGGCCCCUUCCGUUUAUUUCAUCUGUAGGUUUUACCCUUCUGCUAGGGGCUCAGUCUGGGGGAAGAUGGCCCUUGGACUAGAGUUCCUCUUGCCGG
rnacentral:lncRNA from 1 species